AAGGCAGAAUGUGUUACACAUAAAUAUAGCAGAAAGUGUAUCCUGUGUAAAUGUGUCCCUGAGUCAUGACUGUCUAUGAGUGAUAAGCUCGAGUCCCGCUAGCUGUGUUGUUGUCGGCUGUGUUUACAUCAUGUUUACAUGGAUGGGACGGCCUGGCGUAUAAAGCUGUUAUAGUUAAGGACUGAACAGACAGCAAUAUUACAAGUUAUAAAUAGUUGUGAAACACUUUUAAUGCAUGAUUGUAUAUGAUGAUAUGAGACUCAUGCAACUUCCCCCAGUCUCCAAAGAUUAGAAGAAAUAUACAUUUUGCAUGACUGGUAUCACUUGAAUCAGUUUUUUCAAAAGAAUGAAUUCAGGGCCGUGAUCAGCUCAGGCAGAAGCCGGAGACCAAAAGUCCAUCCUCCCAGACCAGCCAAAUAACUACAACCUCUUUCAUCAUAAUCAUGAUCUCAACAUACAUUUGUGUCAAUAUUCAUAUCAUCUAUUAAAUAUCUCAAACCAUAUUGUUACUAGUGAAUCAUAAUUAACAUAUUACAGUUUUUUCCAAUUGCUAACACACUAAAAUGACAUGCAUAGCACAAUUAUUUAAACUGACACACAGAGAGCAAAACCUCUUCUCAAGUCUCCAAAAGUCUAAACACAAUUUCUGCUUUACACACAUUUUGCAAUUCAACAUGGCACUUUUUAAAUGCACUGAACACAGUUCUCUGUAUAAGACACAACAAUCUGACAUAAAGUCACAUGUUUCCCAUUUCAAAACACUGCUAUUCAAAAUGAAACUACAUGAGCUAAUUGGUCAAUGUAUGUGCCACCUGGCCAAACACCUGAAUGGUUAAUUGUUAUCACUUCAAUCAGGAAGUAAGCACUAUGAAAAGACCACAAGUGAGCACCUUUUUUUUACAACAACAAUGGAAGACGUUGCAGAGAGAGGAAGAGUGAGGGUGAGAAUGAGAGGAAGAGUGAGAGGUAGGGGUAGAGCUGGUAGAGGAGUUCAUGGCCAAAGAAGAAAACAACUU